UAUAUUUGCUGCUCUCUGCACACAGCUGUUGCUACUUGGGUGUACAGCACAGAAUUUUAGAUCUUGAACCAGAGUUCAAGUUCCUCCUUGGUGGCAAAUCUGGGGGAAAGCCAAUGCCCAGGUUCCAGAAGGAGACAGAGAGGCUAAGAGAAUAAAAACAACAAACGAAGAGCAUCAAAGACGGUUAGUGAUGGUGCUCAAAAUGGUUGUGCAAACCUAUCAUCUCACAGAGCAGCAGUACCCAUGGGGACUUCCUCUUAUUUUGAACCAUUACGAAGUCAUGGUAUGAUAUUUCUGGAGAUCCAUUGAAAAGUUCCCUCACACCGAAUUUGCAGCCAGGAUUUGAGCAAAUCCACCUCAGAUCUACACAUUAGCAAAGCAAACAUCUGGAGAUCCACAGAAGUCAUCACCCUAAGAGAUUAUCAACACUCUAGCGCCUAAAAGUUUGUUUAUGAAUCAGAGACACAGCAAAGACACUUACCAGCCCAAUGUGGGAACAAAGUGAGGAAUGACAAUUCUCCCAGGAGGUGCUUCAGAGACAAGGGACAUUCCAAUCCUAUCACAUAGUAACCACAGAGACCUGAGCUGUGAUUCUAAGACACCAGCGUCAAGAAGAAAGUUGUUUGCUCCUUGAAGAAUUAACUCGCUUGUGUAUGUUAUGAAAUCAGUCAACACAAAAUUAAAAUACACACUCUUAGAAGUGCUACAGUUUCUCACAAAGCGGUGGUAGCAGAUACGCAAG
rnacentral:lncRNA from 1 species